rnacentral:rRNA from 1 species
GAUGAACGCUGGCGGCGUGCCUAAUACAUGCAAGUCGAGCGAACAGACGAGGAGCUUGCUCCUUUGACGUUAGCGGCGGACGGGUGAGUAACACGUAGGUAACCUACCUAUAAGACUGGGAUAACUUCGGGAAACCGGAGCUAAUACCGGAUAAUAUUUCGAACCGCAUGGUUCGAUAGUGAAAGAUGGCUUUGCUAUCACUUAUAGAUGGACCUGCGCCGUAUUAGCUAGUUGGUAAGGUAACGGCUUACCAAGGCAACGAUACGUAGCCGACCUGAGAGGGUGAUCGGCCACACUGGAACUGAGACACGGUCCAGACUCCUACGGGAGGCAGCAGUAGGGAAUCUUCCGCAAUGGGCGAAAGCCUGACGGAGUAACGCCGCGUGAGUGAUGAAGGUCUUCGGAUCGUAAAACUCUGUUAUUAGGGAAGAACAAACGUGUAAGUAACUGUGCACGUCUUGACGGUACCUAAUCAGAAAGCCACGGCUAACUACGU